UAUAAAUCAAUGCACUUUACAAAAGGAAGCCAAGCAUUAACUUAGUUUAAUUAUUAUCUUAAUUUUACUGAGACAAAAGCACAGAAAAGGGAAAGAAAUGCCAAAGGAAACAGGCAGCAAUGAACAGUAAAAACUACAGCCCAUGCUCAAAAAUUCUCAGCUAAUGGGGAAAAAAUGAUGCAUGAAGACAGCUUCCUGCAUACAACUGAGAGGAUGCCUGCAGCCCUUAUUUUCUCCUGACAAACACAUUUAGUUACAAAACCAUCUAUCCCUAACUAGAAUAGAGCUUUAAAUAUAUCUUCUACAUUA